GCCUCCGGGGUGUAAUGGUAGUACACUUGCCGCAUAUUCGAGAGGUCCAGGUUCGAAUCCCGGCGAGGGCA
rfam:Stegodyphus mimosarum contig110495, whole genome shotgun sequence.